rnacentral:rRNA from 1 species
UACGUAGGGUGCGAGCGUUAAUCGGAAUUACUGGGCGUAAAGCGUGCGCAGGCGGUUUUGUAAGGCAGAUGUGAAAUCCCCGGGCUUAACCUGGGAAUGGCAUUUGGGACUGCAAGGCUGGAGUGCGGCAGAGGAGACUGGAAUUCCUGGUGUAGCAGUGAAAUGCGUAGAUAUCAGGAGGAAUACCGAUGGCGAAGGCAGGUCUCUGGGCUGACACUGACGCUCAUGCACGAAAGCGUGGGGAGCAAACAGG